rnacentral:rRNA from 1 species
ACGGAGGGGGCUAGCGUUGUUCGGAAUUACUGGGCGUAAAGGGCGCGUAGGCGGUUUGGUAAGUUAGGCGUGAAAGGCCCGGGCUCAACCCGGGAACUGCGCUUAAGACUGCCGGGCUGUGAGUCCGGGAGAGGAUGGCGGAAUUCCCAGUGUAGAGGUGAAAUUCGUAGAUAUUGGGAAGAACACCAGUGGCGAAGGCGGCCAUCUGGCCCGGUACUGACGCUGAGGCGCGAAAGCGUGGGGAGCAAACAG